UACGUAGGGGGCUAGCGUUGUCCGGAAUCAUUGGGCGUAAAGCGCGUGUAGGCGGUCCGGUAAGUCCGCUGUGAAAGCCAGGGGCUCAACCCUUGGAUGCCGGUGGAUACUGUCGGGCUUGAGUACGGAAGAGGCGAGUGGAAUUCCUGGUGUAGCGGUGGAAUGCGCAGAUAUCAGGAGGAACACCUAUAGCGAAGGCAGCUUGCUGGGACGUUACUGACGCUAAGGCGCGAAAGCGUGGGGAGCGAACAGG
rnacentral:rRNA from 1 species